rnacentral:misc_RNA from 1 species
AAAUCCAGCUGCCUUCAAUUUCAGUGUCAAGAAACUUCGUCCUCAAGUACCCAACUUUGUUGAAAGGUGAUAAAGAUGCUCUAGCUUUUUAUGGUGGAAGAGGUGGUUCAAAACAAGGCAAAAACAAAGAGGGAACGCACAAUCAUACACUUUUUGCAUCAAAUAAAUACUUUGCUCUUAUUUUUUUUUGUCAAAUUCUUUGCUCUCAUUCAGAUCUCUCUUAAUUCAAAGGGAUGAAAAGAAACAAAGAGAAAAAGAACAGAAGGAAUGAAGAAAGAAAGCAGAAGGUACAAGUUCAACGGAACAAGAGGAAUUUUGAAGGCAUUUUGAUUUCUUGCACUGUAUUUGUACAAUAUUACUAUUUAAUUCUUAAAGAUUCAUACAGAAAUAGAGAGAGAGAGAAGGGUUGGGUUCAGUGAAUUCUCUUAUUCCAGUAGGGCAUGCUGACACGCAAG